CUGGAAAGAGGAAAAUUCAACGACAUAAAAUAUGUUGGUCGACUUCCUUCAGCUGCUACAGCCACAGGGUUUUACCAGCUUCAUGUUAAAGAGCAGACUGAUCUUGUGAAGAAAGCUCUUCAACCUGAUCCCAUCACUCCCAUCAUCCCUUAAAAAAAGACAGCUUAAGUUAUAACAGAUUACAACAGAAAAUAAAGAAUCAUGAGAGAAUCUUUGGUUACCAGAUGGUACGACGGAAAUAAACAGAGAUGGUUGCCAUACUUUAGGGCUGCUACAAGCUAAUCUCAUUGAAGGAGUUUGUGUCCUUUAAAACGGAAGAGCUUGUUUUCUUUUUCUUUUUAUAUUAUGUUCGUUACUUCUUCUGUUCUGU
rnacentral:lncRNA from 1 species